rnacentral:ribozyme from 1 species
UCUGCCGAUGGGGGCCAUAGCAGAAGCAUUCACAUUGCAACCCCUGUCAGAUAAUACAUGGUAAUAUCUGCAAAUUCUGCU